UGGAUUCCAGAAAGGCGCUGCUGGACACAACCAGGGGUCCGCGGGUUUCGCCGGUGGUGCUUCCAACAGGAACGUGAACGCAUACAAUCACAACAAGGGCUACAGCCACAGCUCGGGCUUUUCGGCCUCGGACAGCAACAAAUUUGGUUCCGGACACAACCAGGGCUCGGCCGGAUUCCAGGGUGGCGCUGCCGGACACCAGGGAGGCUAUGGACAAUCUUCUCACGGACACCAGGCCGGUGGCGGCUACGGUGGUGGAUACCUCGGCUAAAUAGUCUGUGCUUUAUUGCCAGAAGAACAUCGAUGCUCAGCCUUGCUGCAAUUGCACCUGUGGAGAGAAUAAAUUGUGGUCUUCCUUAUUGAAGCAAAAA